rnacentral:rRNA from 1 species
GAUGAACGCUAGCGGGAGGCUUAACACAUGCAAGUCGAGGGGUAUAGUAGCAAUACUAGAGACCGGCGGACGGGUGCGUAACGCGUAUGCAACUUGCCUUAUACAGGGGGAUAGCCCGUGGAAACGCGGAUUAAUACCCCAUAUGUCAUUUGGGUCGCAUGGCCUGGAUGAUAAAGCUGAGGUGGUAUAAGAUGGGCAUGCGUCUGAUUAGCUGGUUGGUAGGGUAACGGCCUACCAAGGCGACGAUCAGUAGGGGUUCUGAGAGGAUAAUCCCCCACACUGGUACUGAGACACGGACCAGACUCCUACGGGAGGCAGCAGUGAGGAAUAUUGGUCAAUGGGCGAGAGCCUGAACCAGCCAUUCCGCGUGAAGGAAGAAGGCCUUAUGGGUUGUAAACUUCUUUUCUGUAAGAAGAAAAGUCCCGACGAGUCGGGAUGUGACGGUAUUAUAGGAAUAAGCAUCGGCCAACUCCGUGCCAGCAGCCGCGGUAAGAC